GACGAACGCUGGCGGCGUGCCUAAUACAUGCAAGUCGAGCGGACGGAUGGGAGCUUGCUCCCUGAAGUCAGCGGCGGACGGGUGAGUAACACGUGGGCAACCUGCCCCUAAGAUCGGGAUAACUUCGGGAAACCGGAGCUAAUACCGGAUAUGAUCAUCCCUCACAUGAGGGAUGAUGGAAAGACGGUUUCGGCUGUCACUUAGGGAUGGGCCCGCGGCGCAUUAGCUAGUUGGUGAGGUAACGGCUCACCAAGGCGACGAUGCGUAGCCGACCUGAGAGGGUGAUCGGCCACACUGGGACUGAGACACGGCCCAGACUCCUACGGGAGGCAGCAGUAGGGAAUCUUCCGCAAGGGACGAAAGUCUGACGGAGCAACGCCGCGUGAGUGAAGAAGGUUUUCGGAUCGUAAAACUCUGUUGUCAGGGAAGAACAAGUACCAUAGUAACUGAUGGUACCUUGACGGUACCUGACCAGAAAGCCACGGCUAACUACGUGCCAGCCGCCGCCGUAA
rnacentral:rRNA from 1 species